rnacentral:rRNA from 1 species
CGCUAAGGCGUCGAAGUAGUGUAUGUCAUACUUCCAAGAAAAGCUUGCACUGUCAUAAGUAAAAAAUGCCUGUACCAUAACCGACACAGGUGGGUAGGUAGAGUAUACUAAGGGGCGCGAGAUAACUCUCUCUAAGGAACUCGGCAAAAUGACUCCGUAACUUCGGGAGAAGGAGUGCCUUAUUUAUAAGGUUGCAAUAACAAGAUCCAAGCAACUGUUUAUCAAAAACACAGGUCUCCGCUAAGUCGUAAGACGAUGUAUGGGGGCUGACGCCUGCCCAGUGCCAGAAGGUUAAAGAAGUUGGUUAGUGUAUGCGAAGCUGAUGACUGAAGCCCUGGUGAACGGCGGCCGUAACGAUAACGGUCCUAAGGUAGCGAAAUUCCUUGUCGGCUAAGUUCCGACCCGCACGAAAGGCGUAAUGAUUUGGAUACUGUCUCGGAGAGAGGCUCGGUGAAAUAGACUUGUCUGUGAAGAUGCGGACUACCUGCACCAGGACAGAAAGACCCUAUGAAGCUUUACUGUAACUUGAAAUUGGAAUUGGACUUUGCUUGCGCAGUAUAGGUGGGAAGCGUUGAAGAUAUUCUUGCGGGAGUAUUGGAGCUAUCAGUGAGAUACCACUCUUGUAAUGUUAGAUUUCUAACUUUGAACCAUAAUCUGGUCAAAGAACAGUUUCAGGUGGGCAGUUUGACUGGGGCGGUCGCCUCCCAAAUGGUAACGGAGGCGUACAAAGGUUUCCUCUGAACGGAUAGAAAUCGUAUCUAGAGUGUAAAGGCAUAAGGAAGCUUGACUGUGAGACCUACAAGUCGAGCAGGGACGAAAGUCGGUCUUAGUGAUCUGACGGUACUGAGUGGAAAGGCCGUCACUCAACGGAUAAAAGUUACUCUAGGAUAACAGGCUGAUCUCCCCCAAGAGUUCACAUCGACGGGGAGGUUUGGCACCUCGAUGUCGGCUCAUCGCAUCCUGGGGCGGUAGUACGUCCCAAGGGUUGGGCUGUUCGCCCAUGAAAGCGGUACGCGAGCUGGGUUCAGAACGUCGUGAGACAGUUCGGUCCAUAUCCGGUGUAGGCGUUAGAAUAUUGAGAGGAGCCUUCUUUAGUACGAGAGGACCGAGAAGGACACACCGCUGGUGUACCAGUUAUCGUGCCAACGGUAAACGCUGGGUAGCUAUGUGUGGAGUGGAUAACCGCUGAAAGCAUCUAAGUGGGAAGCCCACCUCAAGAUGAG